rnacentral:rRNA from 1 species
UGGGCUUGAAAGUUAGUGACCGCUCCUGAAAGGGAGCUUUCCGCAAGGACACGAAACUAGGUGCUGCAUGGCUGUCGUCAGCUCGUGCCGUGAGGUGUCGGAUUAAGUUCCAUAACGAGCGCAACCCCUAUUUCUAGUUGCCAGCGAGUAAUGUCGGGGACUCUAGAGAAACUGCCCGCGUAAGCGGUGAGGAAGGUGGGGACGACGUCAAGUCAUCACGGCCCUUACGUCCAGGGCGACACACGUGCUACAAUGGUAGGGACAGUGAGUUGCAAGCCGGUAACGGUAAGCUAAUCUACAAACCCUAUCUCAGUUCGGAUCGAGGUCUGCAACCCGACCUCGUGAAGCUGGAAUCGCUAGUAAUCGCAUAUCAGCCAUGAUGCGGUGAAUACGUUCCCGGGCC